rnacentral:rRNA from 1 species
CGGGGAGAUUCAUUCAUCGCUCUUCCGAGAGUCCGCGGGCGUCGCGCGCGCAUGCGCGCGUCGGGCGUCCGUGGCUCGCGGAGUGCGUGCACUUCUCCCCAAGUAAAACACCGCGACCCGUUGGGGGGUCGAACGCGCCGUGCGGCCGCCCCGGCUCGCGAGCCGGAGCCGCGGCGACGCGGCCCCCCACCGACGGUAUAGAACGAGGUUCGCGUCCGCCGGCGUCCGCGGUGCGACGGCGUCGUCCCCCGUUCGGUCGGCGCGCGUCGAUCGGACGGGACGGCGCGCUCGGUCGCAUCGGCUCGGACGGGACGCGUCCCGGUCGGCGGUGGUUUUGUUUCGGGCACUCACAGGACCCGUCUUGAAAC